rnacentral:rRNA from 1 species
GACGAACGCUGGCGGCGUGCUUAACACAUGCAAGUCGAGCGGUAAGGCCCUUCGGGGUACACGAGCGGCGAACGGGUGAGUAACACGUGGGUGACCUGCCCUCAGCUUCGGGAUAAGCCUGGGAAACCGGGUCUAAUACCGGAUACGACCUGCCACUGCAUGGUGGUUGGUGGAAAGUUUUUUCGGCUGGGGAUGGGCCCGCGGCCUAUCAGCUUGUUGGUGGGGUGAUGGCCUACCAAGGCGGUGACGGGUAGCCGGCCUGAGAGGGCGACCGGCCACACUGGGACUGAGACACGGCCCAGACUCCUACGGGAGGCAGCAGUGGGGAAUAUUGCGCAAGGGGCGGAAGCCUGACGCAGCGACGCCGCGUGGGGGAUGACGGCCUUCGGGUUGUAAACCUCUUUCGCCAGGGACGAAGCUUUUUGUGACGGUACCUGGAGAAGAAGCACCGGCCAACUACGUGCCAGCCGCCGCCGUAAUAC